GACGAACGCUGGCGGCGUGCCUAAUACAUGCAAGUCGAACGCAGUGGGGACGGGUGAGUAACACGUGGGUAACCUCCCAUCAGAGGGGAUAACACUUGGAAACAGGUGCUAAACCGAUACUGAUGGAUGGACCCGCGGGGCAUUAGCUAGUUGGUGAGGUACCGGCUCACCAAGGCCACGAUGCAUAGCCGAGCUGAGAGGGUGAUCGGCCACACGGGGACUGAGAAAAGGCCCAGAAUCCGACGGGAGGCAGGAGUAGGGAAUCUUCGGCAAUGGACGAAAGGCUGACCGAGCAACGCCGCGGGAGUGAAGAAGGGUUUCGGAUCGUAAAACUCUGUUGUUAGAGAAGCGGUAUCUAACCAGAAAGCCACGGCUAACUACGUGCCAGCAGCCGCGGUAAUUC
rnacentral:rRNA from 1 species